AGUGAACGCUGGCGGUAGGCUUAACACAUGCAAGUCGAACGGCAGCACAGUAAGAGCUUGCUCUUACGGGUGGCGAGUGGCGGACGGGUGCGGAAUACACCGGCAUCUACUUUUUCGUGGGGGAUAAGGUAGGGAAACUUACGCUAAUACCGCAUACGACCUACGGGUGAAAGCAGGGGAACUUUGGACCUUGCGCGAUUGAAUGAGCCGAUGUCGGAUUAGCUAGUUGGUGGGGUAAAGGCCCACCAAGGCGACGAUCCGUAGCUGGUCUGAGAGGAUGAUCAGCCACACUGGAACGGAGACACGGUCCAGACUCCUACGGGAGGCAGCAGUGGGGAAUAUUGGACAAUGGGCGCAAGCCUGAUCCAGCCAUACCGCGUGGGUGAAGAAGGCCUUCGGGUUGUAAAGCCCUUUUGUUGGGAAAGAAAAGCUGUAGGUUAAUACCCCGCGGUACUGACGGUACCCGAAGAAUAAGCACCGGCUAACUACGUG
rnacentral:rRNA from 1 species